rnacentral:rRNA from 1 species
UACGUAGGGGGCAAGCGUUGUCCGGAAUUAUUGGGCGUAAAGCGCGCGCAGGCGGUCAAUUAAGUCUGGUGUUUAAGCCCGGGGCUCAACCCCGGUUCGCAUUGGAAACUGGUUGACUUGAGUGUAGGAGAGGAAAGUGGAAUUCCACGUGUAGCGGUGAAAUGCGUAGAGAUGUGGAGGAACACCAGUGGCGAAGGCGACUUUCUGGCCUAUAACUGACGCUGAGGCGCGAAAGCGUGGGGAGCAAACAGGAUUAGAUACCCGCGUAGUCC